GUGAGGUAGGUGCUACUAUUACUCUGUUUUCACAAGUAAAGAAACUAAGAAUGUUAAAUACUGACAGGGGCAUAUUCAAGAUCUUUAGGAUUUUUUCGGGGGAGGAGAGGGGAACAUAAAAAAGCAAUAAUAAAGAUAAAUUUGAAUGCAGGAAAAAUACACAUAAUCCAUGAAUCUAACACCUGUUUUCGCAUGUUUAUCAUCUUUGUCCCUAUGUAGAUCUAUGUUUUCUUUCAUAGUUGCAGUCAUAGAAUAUAUUCUAUUCUCUAAGCUUUUAUCCUUCAACAUUAUAGGAGAAUGUUGUUCCACGUUACCACAUAGCCAACUGUUUCAAAACUUGUCUAGUAAAUUCUGUGCUGUUGUUUUCACAGGGAGAAACAUGCACAUGUAUAUUACUUUUUUUUUUUCUGUUGAAUCAUACUCUUGGAAUAAAAUUUUUCAGUGAGGUUUUUGGUUCCAAAAAGUAUAAACAUUUUGGUGAUCUUUAGUAAAUUGUAUUGCUUUCCAAAGAAGUGAUAGGAAUUAUACUUGCCACCCCAACAGUGAAAGAAUUGCAAUUUAAUUUCAAUGUAACAGAGGAUGCUACUGUUGCUAUUAUAUUUUCUAUUAUAAUGAAAACCGUUAAAGAUUUAAACCAAGCUGGAUUGUCUUUCAGGAGCUGCUGUUAAAUGAACACCUUGAUAUCUUCGUUCUUGGAGAGAAAUGAGCCAAGGAGGAAGACCAUCUAAAAAAACCACUAGACAAUUUGUGCUCACUGGAGUGGUCUCUGCUGGGCAAAAGGUCUUUAGAAUGACUCGUGGAUUUUCUGGCAAGUGGCAAACCAUACAAGUGCUAUGUCAGGCCAGGGAGACAGGUGCAGCCCUGUCAGUGUCAAAGAAGAACACUGGUAGCAGAAGAGCUAAGAGUGAAUGAAAAUUGAAUUAUCUUUAUUUCUAGGACUUGUCUAUUGAGAAACAACAGUGCUGGCAACGAUUUACUACCAACAAGAGGCAGUUCCAAGAGAAGAAUAUAAAAUAUGCUCUGCUCAAUCCCAUGAAACUCAGAGUGUCUCACAAUGGCCAAUUUCUUAUUUUUACCCUGUCCAGAGACAAGGAAGGAUGCAUCAGGGAGCUGCUAGCCUCUGUGAUGAAUAACUUGAGUCAGGCUGCAACAUGUGAAAGAAUUCAGCUGAUCAGGAUUUAUAACACUAGCUGGAUUUUUUGCUUUCUUUGGGGUUCAUGAAACAUGGUGUUGUGAGAUACCACAGGAGUCCCAGAGUAAAGUUACAUACCUAUUUCUCUUCCUUAUUUUUAUUUUUUUGGCAUGUUCAUACUAUUUUAUUACCAACAUCGUUGGCAUCCCUGAGUAUGAGAGUUCAGAAGAAACUUAGAGGCUAUUGUCUGAUUCAAUCCUUGCAGCUUACAAAAAGAAAUGUGGGGAGCAGUCACUGUGUGACUAGCCUAGGUCACUCAGGAAGUUAGAGGCAGAACUGCAGCCAGGGUCACCUCUCUUUACUGCUACUAGUGUGCUCUUUCUACUGCACCCUGAUCAUAAAACAUCUCCCAACCCAGGAACAAGGUCUACCGCAUAGGUGGGCACAGCAGCGUGAUCACUCUCUCAGUCAUCUGUACUCCUCCUUUGCUUUGACCAAAGACACAGGAAGGGACCUUUUGCCCCACAUAAAACACCUCUCAGAGGCUUUGCAACAACAACAGAUAAUAGAGAGCAUUGACCUAAGACCAACAUUUCAACCAUGGUGUCAAAACAAUAUUUUAUUUCAGCAAAGAAAAACUAUGUCACAAGUGGAUUAUUAUUACUAAUAAUCAGACUAGUGGUACUUGUGAAUGACUUGGUUUCAUACUCAC
rnacentral:lncRNA from 10 species